rnacentral:lncRNA from 1 species
GAAGGCUAAAGUUGAAAGUAUUACAUGGAACAUAUUUACAAGACAUUACGGCAUCAAAAAGAGUGAACCAGCUUGCUAGCUUAGUCUACAUCAUCAAACAAAAAGGAGUCUCAGCAACAUGGGAGGGUCUACAAGACAUUUUGAGCUUUAUAAAUUUGGGAAAGAUGCUAAUAUCCGAAUAUGUGUGGGUCCAAGCAUCCCAUUAUCUUCAUCCCA